GACGAACGCUGGCGGCGUGCCUAAUACAUGCAAGUAGAACGCUGAAGGAGGAGCUUGCUUCUCCGGAUGAGUUGCGAACGGGUGAGUAACGCGUAGGUAACCUGCCUGGUAGCGGGGGAUAACUAUUGGAAACGAUAGCUAAUACCGCAUAACAGUAGAUGUUGCAUGACAUUUGCUUAAAAGGUGCAAUUGCAUCACUACCAGAUGGACCUGCGUUGUAUUAGCUAGUUGGUGAGGUAACGGCUCACCAAGGCGACGAUACAUAGCCGACCUGAGAGGGUGAUCGGCCACACUGGGACUGAGACACGGCCCAGACUCCUACGGGAUGCAGCAGUAGGGAAUCUUCGGCAAUGGACGGAAGUCUGACCGAGCAACGCCGCGUGAGUGAAGAAGGGUUUCGGAUCGUAAAGCUCUGUUGUAAGAGAAGAACGAGUGUGAGAGUGGAAAGUUCACACUGUGACGGUAUCUUACCAGAAAGGGACGGCUAACUACGUG
rnacentral:rRNA from 1 species